GAUGAACGCUAGCGAUAGGCUUAACACAUGCAAGUCGAACGGUAACAGGCCGCAAGGUGCUGACGAGUGGCGAACGGGUGAGUAAUGCAUCGGAACGUGCCCAGUCGUGGGGGAUAACGCAGCGAAAGCUGCGCUAAUACCGCAUACGAUCUAUGGAUGGAAGCGGGGGACCGUAAGGCCUCGCGCGAUUGGAGCGGCCGAUGUCAGAUUAGGUAGUUGGUGGGGUAAAGGCCUACCAAGCCGACGAUCUGUAGCUGGUCUGAGAGGACGACCAGCCACACUGGGACUGAGACACGGCCCAGACUCCUACGGGAGGCAGCAGUGGGGAAUUUUGGACAAUGGGCGCAAGCCUGAUCCAGCAAUGCCGCGUGCAGGAAGAAGGCCUUCGGGUUGUAAACUGCUUUUGUACGGAACGAAACGGCCUGGGUUAAUACCCUGGGCUAAUGACGGUACCGUAAGAAUAAGCACCGGCUAACUACGUGCCAGCAGCCGCGGUAA
rnacentral:rRNA from 1 species